rnacentral:sRNA from 1 species
AAAGAAUAUAUUAGUACCGUAGACAGUAGGGGAUUAAUUCUUAAAAAUCCUACCGAGGGAACUUGCAUUAGUUUUUUGUAAGCUCUUUCGGUAUAGAAAGAGCUUUU